CAGUCGCCGCGGUAAUACGAAGGGGGCUAGCGUUGCUCGGAAUGACUGGGCGUAAAGGGCGCGUAGGCGGCGGCCAAAGUCAGGCGUGAAAUUCCCGGGCUCAACCUGGGGGCUGCGUUUGAUACUUGGUUGCUUGAGUGGGGAAGAGGGUCGUGGAAUUCCCAGUGUAGAGGUGAAAUUCGUAGAUAUUGGGAAGAACACCGGUGGCGAAGGCGGCGACCUGGUCCUUGACUGACGCUGAGGCGCGAAAGCGUGGGGAGCAAACAGGAUUAGAUACCCGGGUAGUCCCUGUCUCUUAUAC
rnacentral:rRNA from 1 species